rnacentral:lncRNA from 1 species
AAGGCUACUACCUAAGGUUGUUCCCCCACCUAAGGUUCAUAACCUACGGCUUUGAUACGAACCUGUGACACCCCCAAAUCCGGGUACUUAAAUUUCCACAUGAUUUGGUGUUCACUGUACAAAUAUCAUCUAUCUAUCUACCCAUAAUAAAUGAAAACCAUGCAAUAGAUAGAAAUAAAUCCUCCCCUUAUGGGGUUAC